GACCGAGGGUGCAAACGUUGUUCGGAUUUACUGGGCGUAAAGCGCGUGUAGGCGGCUUGGCAAGUCGGAUGUGAAAGCCCACGGCUCAACCGUGGAAGCGCAUCCGAAACGGCCUCGCUCGAGUCUCGGAGAGGAAGGUGGAAUGCUUGGUGUAGAGGUGAAAUUCGUAGAUAUCAAGCAGAACACCUGCGGCGAAGGCGGCCUUCUGGACGAUGACUGACGCUGAGACGCGAAAGCGUGGGGAGCAAACAGG
rnacentral:rRNA from 1 species